ACUGUUCGUGCUCAGUAUAGCAGGAUAGUUUGCUACGAAGAAAAGAGAAGCUACGAUUUUCGGCAACAGCGCCACAUGGUUGAAAUCGCUUAAACUCUAUCUAGCUACUGUUCGAACGAAGCAGUCCUUUGUAGGAUUCGAUCGCGGGAGGACUUGUGAAUCGCUCAUGCGAAAUAGUUAAUUUGCGAGUUAAUAAUUUGGGUUCGGAUAAGUAAAAAUGUUAUCUUCGAAUUAACUGUAUCGUUUGUAUUCUUCAUUAUAUUGCACAAACAAUCAUGCUCGUUCUUUAUUCAUAUUUUUUUCAUUCAACUUCAUUUGGUCUUAUCUGGAUAAAGAUUCCCAUUAUUUUGUUCGUCACAUGGAAUCAACGCAGCAUCCUCAUUGUCCUUCGUAUUCUCCACUGGUAAAUUUCAUCUCAAACAGUUGAGUAGGAUGCUGCCCAACCCCUAGGAAAAAGCAAACAAUUCUCAGCUCUCUAUGUAGAGGUCCAGGAUCUCUUAGCUCAAGACUAGCCAUGAUGAAGCUGAUUAUCCUCUUUCCUGCUUAUAUCAGAGAGGUUGUAAAGGAAACAGAACUAUAUGGCGGAGAAGUUGUCCAGAGUGAGUACUUAUGCCAUACUUUAGUAUGCCAAUAACAAAUCGGAUAAGCCGCACAAUCCAAUAAAGAUUCCGUUAACAAGACUGCCAAAAUUCUGCGAAGAUUUUGAUAAAUGCAAACACAUGGCGGAUUUAUUCGAAACGCCAAUGAUAGAGUACGAAUCUAUAACGAACAAAAUGCAUUUACAGUAUUUGAUUAUGUCUUACGAGAAUGAAGCAUGUGCGACAGCUUCUGCCCUCAGUGUGGCGAUAAUUUUAAAAUCGCAUGGAAAACGGUGAAGGAGAAAUACGAAAACAGAGGAGUUUUGAUUUCUUCACUGUUAAGCUGUACAAGCUGUUGAGGCUGAUCACACUAAGUUCAAACAAACUUAGCUUUAUUCCGUCAGCUUUAUUCCGCAGCUUUGAUUGUAAAGUGAAUAAGGCGAGUCCGAUUUUAAUUCACUUAUUCCCGCCGAGAUUUGACGCGGAGUUAGAUGAGGAAUAGAUGCGAAUGGAAACUAUGGAAUAUCCGACGUGCGAAUAACUAGAAGAGUUUUUAGUCGUUGUUAAUCAGAAAAAAAGAAAAGGAUCUUUCACUGUCAAAAAACCAGCAGAAACGCUGAAGAAAUACCACGAGCACAAUUAUGUCUGGUUACAUAAUAUCAUCUGGUAGAUUAGUUUAUCGUCUUUAAGGCGUUACCUUCUGCGUUGCCAAAGCGGGGCAGCUUUGUAUUGACCAUUUCGUGAAUUGUUAGAAAGUGUACGGGCAAGCGGACCUAUCGCGCAUGUGGUGCAGACCUAUCAUACCUUGUUGCACUAGAGGACAGCGCUAAAAAAUACCACAAAAGCCAGGCAGGGUCAUUUUUCUAAAAAUGAAAAGAUUUCGAGCAAACAAUUAAUUCUGAUUUCAUCACCGCCGAAGAAGAAGGAAAAAGAAGAUAUGGUCACCUCUGGUCACCUUCACUCCAACGACGAAUGUCUUGAUGAACGUUAAUAAGACACGUUAAUAAGAAAGUUAGAGAAACAAGACAUUAAUAAGAACGUUAAUAAGAAAGUUAAUAAUGAUUCAAGGAAUAUGGUCGCUUCUCGUAAGGAUUUCGUUCGUGUACGUCACGAACAGCAUGCGAAUAGCCCGGUAUUAUUAUGGUACUAUGUUAAUAUUAAAAAUGAUGUUUUUGACCACCGUGUUAAUGAUAAAGAUAGCGAAUUAUCAUCGUUUGAGUGAAGUGAUCUCGUGCACCCAAACUCCGCAUCAAAUCGUCAUAUCGACGUAUUGAUAGUCGGAAUGACUUUGGCGGAGUAGAGGCUUUGUUUUAACCGUGCUCGGUUGAAUUUCUCCCAGGCGACUGGUCAACCACCUGUUACAACCUGCAUUCACGUGAGUUUUUGUAGCACAUCGGAUACGCUUAAUAUAAUAUAAUAUACGCUUAUAUAAUAAUAUAAUAUGUCAAUUCUAGGAAAUAGAAUAGAUUUCCGCGGAAUCCCUCUAUAUUUGCGAGGAUGAGGAAAAAGGCAGACAUUUCGCGGCCACCUGGAAGCGUAAUGCGACUGGUCAUUUCUUCAUUAAGUUAUCGCCGUUAACCUGAAUUUUCGCGAAAAUUCGGUAACGAUGAGGGAUUCCGACGCAAGGAAUUCGUAAUUCAUUUUUAUUCGUCAUUACUCGCUCAGUUCGUUCAGUUUUUGAUACGUUGAAACCAUUUCUUCGUAGUAUGGAUCGACGUUGUGACACAAGUCGAAUACGUCUUUAAGACGAUUGCACAGUUCCGCAAACGUAUCGAAAUUUUCGACACCAUAUUAGCGCGGCCGCGAAUCUUGUUUGUUAUUAGUUUCGUUGAGAUUCGUUUUCACGAGGCGGCAAAAUAUCGCGAGCUCAGUGGCAGAUCCGGCAGAACGAGGGAACAGAGUCUAUGGUUUCUUUCAACGAAAAAGUUAGGAUUUCGAUCUAAAAAGUGAAUCGUUGCGAGGUCGGGGUAAUGAAAUUCACUGUGUUCGAAUCCGAGAUAUUUAACGCGGAGACUUUUGAAUUCGUUGCGCAUUUGUUCGAGAUCGGUUAGCACAUU
rnacentral:lncRNA from 1 species